rnacentral:rRNA from 1 species
CGGACGGGUGAGUAACGCGUGGGUAACCUGCCUUAUACAGGGGGAUAACAGUUAGAAAUGACUGCUAAUACCGCAUAAGCGCACAGGAUUGCAUGAUCCGGUGUGAAAAACUCCGGUGGUAUAAGAUGGACCCGCGUCUGAUUAGCUUGUUGGUGAGGUAACGGCCCACCAAGGCGACGAUCAGUAGCCGACCUGAGAGGGUGACCGGCCACAUUGGGACUGAGACACGGCCCAAACUCCUACGGGAGGCAGCAUG